rnacentral:rRNA from 1 species
AGUGAACGCUGGCGGUAGGCCUAACACAUGCAAGUCGAACGGCAGCACAGUAAGAGCUUGCUCUUACGGGUGGCGAGUGGCGGACGGGUGAGGAAUACAUCGGAAUCUACUUUUUCGUGGGGGAUAACGUAGGGAAACUUACGCUAAUACCGCAUACGACCUACGGGUGAAAGCAGGGGAUCUUCGGACCUUGCGCGAUUGAAUGAGCCGAUGUCGGAUUAGCUAGUUGGCGGGGUAAAGGCCCACCAAGGCGACGAUCCGUAGCUGGUCUGAGAGGAUGAUCAGCCACACUGGAACUGAGACACGGUCCAGACUCCUACGAGAGGCAGCAGUGGGGAAUGUUGGACAAUGGGCGCAAGCCUGAUCCAGCCAUACCGCGUGGGUGAAGAAGGCCUUCGGGUUGUAAAGCCCUUUUGUUGGGAAAGAAAAGCAGCAGGUUAAUACCCCGCUGUUCUGACGGUACCCAAAGAAUAAGCACCGGCUAACUUCGUG